ACCGCGCAUUUUCCACAUUUUACAGUACUUGACGGCAGCCAGUUAGUUUACCUAACCGGAAACAGAUGUUGGCGAUCGGAAACAGUUUGUUAUUUUCGCGCAUGUGCAGCCGGGGUAACGGAUCGGGCACUGACAGCAGGUGUUUCCGUUUUGAACAUUCACAACCACUAUGAUAGGGUUAGGGAGAAGUGUACUGGGUCUAGACAAAAGAAACUGAAACUUAAGUGUCAGGCUCUUCGUGCAUGUAUUCAAUACACAAUCUGAUUCAAUCUGCCAACAUCUGCAUACAUCUUCUGCCACACGUAGCAUCAUAGAUUCCAUCAAUGGCCAAAUACAUCACAGAACUUCAAGUGUCACUUGAUGCAGCUGAGGAGCAAUAUCUUCAAUCAAAUGGCUUCAAGAAAAUCAAUGUUGAUCUGAACAAAGGAGCAAGAGGAAAUUACAUCUAUCUUUGGUACAAACGUGGAUCAGUGCCUAUCACCAAGGUUCAAGUUUCCUUCAAUGAACAGAUGACUGUUGGUUUGAUCAAUGUAGGGUACACAAAGAUCAACAAAGAUCUCAAUGCUGGAGCAGGAGGUAACCACCUCUACCUUUGGUACUUCCAAGGGUCCGGAGAGUUUGAUACUCCCAUUGUGGACAUCACUGUCACUGCAGAUGCAGACAAUGAAGCUGCAAUGUUUGGAUCUGGUUGGGAGAAAGUGACCUGUGAUCUGAACCGCGAGGCACGGGGGAACUGGAUCCACGUCUGGCUGAAGAGAGAGGAACAAACUUACAUCUGUGAUGUCACUGCCACAGAUGCCUUUGGGUCAGACAGCGACCAGUUUAAGGCAGGCUACAUCCGCGUGGAUGAAGAUACUAACAGAGGUGCAAGAGGAUCAUAUGUCUUCAUCUGGUUCCGUCAAACCACCAACCCUGAGAAUGCACUCAAAAAUCUGCAAGUGUCCAUCAAUAAUAGUCAGUAUCAGCAAUAUCAGCAGCAAAAUUACCAGCCAGUGAGUGUUAACCUGAACGAAGGGACCGGAGGUCAACCUGAGUACCUGUGGUUCAAGAAAGAGGGAUCCAACAAUCCAAUUAAAGCCAUCACCGUGCUUCUCAAUCGAGAUUUGUUUGCAGCUUAUGAGAGGGCUGGUGUCACCGUUAUCAAGAAGAAUCUCAACGAGGGCAACAAGGGCAACAUUGAGUACCUGUGUUUCUAUCAGUGAAGGCAGAGCUGAGAGUUAAGAUAAGAUAAGAUGUACCUUUAUUAAUCCCCGUGGGGAAAUUCAAGUGUUUAUGCAGCAACAGAGAAGAGGAAAAACAGUACAGGUUCACAGGGAUAUGAAACACAAAUUGAGUUCUCAACACUCACUUAAGUGGAACACAAAGUCCAACAAUGUUUGUUAAAUAAUUUGGUGAUGGCCACUUUUAAUAAUUGUUCUUCUUUUCUAUAAACAAUGUGAAAUAUUUUUUGUAUGUGUGUGUUUUCAGUGCUACUAGUAAUAAUAGAAAGUAUUAAUAUUCAGGUGUUCUUCUGUACAUCUCCCCAAUGAUAUCAAAAUGUUCCAAAUGUCUAUUUUUCAACUUUGAUCUUAAUUAUUGAUUAAAUGUUAAGGCUCUGUUUCACUUUAUUCUGCACAGGUCUGCUCUCAAUAAGGCACGGUUGCAUGUGAGAUGUGUUUGCUGAGUUUUCAUAAUCUUAUGCCCAUCCAGUGUCGAGCCGUGACUAUAUACCUAGGCCAGGGGUCGGCAACCCGCAGCUCCGGAGCCACAUGCGGCUCUUUAAACCCUCUGCUCUGGCUGGCUCACUUGAGCUAUGACAAAAAUAAGAUAGAAAUAAAAUCAAAUAAUUUGUAGGACUAUUUA